AAGGGCCUCCGUGGGCACGUUCUCGCUUCCAUUCGGUCCUCCUUUUGUUAACGCUCUGGCAUCAUGUCUACGCCAGCUCCCGCGCAAUCCGGCGCCAUCGCGCUUUGGGCGAGCAUGGCCAUGGGGAGUAGAGAGGUGGAAACCGAGCUGACGCCUGCCUGACCCUGGCGAUGGUGGCGCGCGCCGGGAAGGACUGAUUGGAGAAUGGCGCCAAAUGGGUCACGGAUGGCGAGGGGGCACAGGAGCUCUCGAUGUGACCUGGCGCUGUGGAUGUGAUGCACAGCAGCUUGAGUGGGACUGCUCCGCUGUCCUCAUGAGAGAACGCUUUUUCUGAAGAUGGGAGGUGGCUAAUGAAAGAAGGAAUUGUGUUCUCGGUGAUGCCUGGAAGAGAUGCGUGACGUUGGAAGAUGAUUACGAAAUACAGGAAAGGAAUGAAAUCAAAGGAUGUUUUUUGUAAGAGUAACACUUACAGAAAUAUUCAUUAAUUUGAAGAUUUAUAUAAGGUAAGGGAUUUGUGAACUUACUAAGUUCUUUAUGUAGAGUUACAAGGCUGGCCUUCAGCUCUAAUUAUGCCUCAGUCUUUUAGGUGCUUGGGAUUUCUGUGAUUGCUGGCUUGGUUUUUCCCCAGUCCUGCUGUGUAUAAAUAACUUUGAGGGGAUACAACCAGUAGAAAACAUGACUGGGGAUCAGUGUGACCAAACCUUUGGCUGUGUAAGAGCCAGUAACUAUUCUCCCUGUUGACAUCCAUGCCUGGGCAUUUUCUUUAUGUGUGGAAGGAUAUAUGCCCACCAGCCAACUGGACAUGUACUUGUACCCUGGCCCAACUCACCUGGGUACGCGCAUUACUGUAGACAGACCACACCUGUUAGUGGAUUAGGAGUCAGGGCUGGGGUGGGUGUGGUGUACAGGGGUAUUUUUUCCAUGGCCAUGGAGGACCAAAUGGACUGUGGUGAAUUACAAAAUGGGGGGCUGGUUGGGGGCCAGACCUGCUGACUGCUAGAAGGGCCACUAAUCUCUUUCUAAAUGAAGACUGUCACUUCGACAUUACAAGGUAUGGCCCAGAAAUUAAAGGAACAAAUUGCAAAGGGGAGAUGGGAACUGCCAGCCUACAGUUCAGUUUCUGGCUCCUUCUGUGAGUGACCCUCUCCUUAUGGCACUCCCGCCUGCUGUCCUAGUUUGUCCCUUCUCACCAGAGAACCUAAAACUACAGAGAUGUCUCUAAAGUUAGUUAAAAUUUAAGGAAAUAACUUAGGGGACUGGUGAGAAAACUAGAAUCAGUUGGAAAGCAAAACCAUAAAAUCAAUGAGACACUUGGUUCAAAACAAUCUUUUUCUGCCAGUGAUGAAAAAGUAAAAUGUUCUAUACCAAAUGGCCUAUAACAAUACAGUGACCUGCCCCGUGGACCAGAGCCCAGGCUCUCGGAGCUUACUCACCCACGCGUCUGCACUCCUCCAGGGCCUGUGCCUUUCCUGCUCUAACAAACCUGUUCUUCACACAGGCCUGGUGACCUCCGUUAAUUCCUGGGACCCACAGUGUGGAAGAAGAGACCUGACUCCUGAAAGUUGUCUUCUGACCACAUAUACACAAUAUGUAAAUAAAUGUAAUUAAAAAAUCAAAAUAGUAAAACUGAAACAUUA
rnacentral:lncRNA from 1 species